rnacentral:rRNA from 1 species
AUUGAACGCUGGCGGCAUGCCUUACACAUGCAAGUCGAACGGCAGCACGGGAGCAAUCCUGGUGGCGAGUGGCGAACGGGUGAGUAAUACAUCGGAACGUGCCCAAUCGCGGGGGAUAACGCAGCGAAAGCUGUGCUAAUACCGCAUACGAUCUACGGACGAAAGCAGGGGACCGCAAGGCCUUGCGCGAAUGGAGCGGCCGAUGGCAGAUUAGGUAGUUGGUGGGGUAAAGGCUCACCAAGCCAACGAUCCGUAGCUGGUCUGAAAGGACGACCAGCCACACUGGGAGUGAGACACGGCCCAGACUCCUACGGGAGGCAGCAGUGGGGAAUUUUAGGCAAUGGGCGCAAGCCUGAUCCAGCCAUGCCGCGUGCAGGAUGAAGGCCUUCGGGUUGUAAACUGCUUUUGUACGGAGCGAAACGGCCUUUUCUAAUAAGGAGGGCUAAUGACGGUACAGUAAGAAUAAGCACCGGCUAACUACGUG